rnacentral:rRNA from 1 species
GAUGAACGCUGGCGGCGUGCCUAAUACAUGCGAGUCGAGCAAACGGACGAGAAGCUUGCUUCUCUGAUGUUAGCGGCGGACGGGUGAGUAACACGUGGAUAACCUACCUAUAAGACUGGGAUAACUUCGGGAAACCGGAGCUAAUACCGGAUAAUAUUUUGAACCGCAUGGUUCAAAAGUGAAAGACGGUCUUGCUGUCACUUAUAGAUGGAUCCGCGCUGCAUUAGCUAGUUGGUAAGGUAACGGCUUACCAAGGCAACGAUGCAUAGCCGACCUGAGAGGGUGAUCGGCCACACUGGAACUGAGACACGGUCCAGACUCCUACGGGAGGCAGCAGUAGGGAAUCUUCCGCAAUGGGCGAAAGCCUGACGGAGCAACGCCGCGUGAGUGAUGAAGGUCUUCGGAUCGUAAAACUCUGUUAUUAGGGAAGAACAUAUGUGUAAGUAACUGUGCACAUCUUGACGGUACCUAAUCAGAAAGCCACGGCUAACUACGUG